AGAAAACCCCACAGACAGACACGAUCCCUUGUUAUUUGUGUCUCACCCCAAGCAGUUGCCGGUGCCCGGCUGUAAUCCCGUGGGACCCAGUAGCACACAAUGCGCCUCAGCAUCACCUUCCUCCUCCUCCUCCUCCUCACUCUGACCUGCAGCAGCGCCCUGCGGUGUCAUUUUGAUGUUCUGGGUAUAAGAAGACCCACAACCUGUCACCCUAAUAAAACCCACUGCUUAUUAUACGAGGAUA